rnacentral:rRNA from 1 species
GGGUCAGUAGGUUGGUCGUGCCACCGGUACGUACUGGUCUCACUGAUUCCUCCUUCCUGAAGAACCGUAGUGCCAUUAAUUUGGUGUUGCGGGGAAACAGGACUGUUACUUUGAAAAAAUUAGAGUGUUUAAAGCAAGCUAACGCUUGAAUACAUUAGCAUGGAAUAAUGAAAUAGGACGAUCGAUCCUAUUUUGUUGGCUUCUAGGAUUGACGUA